GACGAACGCUGGCGGCGUGCUUAACACAUGCAAGUCGAACGGAAAGGCCCUGCUUGCAGGGUACUCGAGUGGCGAACGGGUGAGUAACACGUGGGUGAUCUGCCCUGCACUUCGGGAUAAGCCUGGUAAACUGGGUCUAAUACCGGAUAGGAGCCAUUUUUAGUGUGAUGGUUGGAAAGUUUUUUCGGUGUAGGAUGAGCUCGCGGCCUAUCAGCUUGUUGGUGGGGUAAUGGCCUACCAAGGCGGCGACGGGUAGCCGGCCUGAGAGGGUGGACGGCCACAUUGGGACUGAGAUACGGCCCAGACUCCUACGGGAGGCAUCAGUGGGGAAUAUUGCACAAUGGGCGCAAGCCUGAUGCAGCGACGCCGCGUGGGGGAUGACGGCCUUCGGGUUGUAAACUCCUUUCGCUAGGGACGAAGCUUUUUGUGACGGUACCUAGAUAAGAAGCACCGGCUAACUACGUG
rnacentral:rRNA from 1 species